rnacentral:lncRNA from 1 species
GAUAAGGUUAUACCCAGAAGUUCAAACUUGUAAUAAGGAAACAUGCUUCACUUUGUCCAUAGCAGCCUUUUGUAUAAUAACAAGAAGCUGAAAUGAACCCAGAUGACUCUCUUUAGAGGAAUGUAUAUAGAAAAUAUGGCACAUUUACUUAAUGAAUUACUACACAGCUAUUAAAAACAAUGAAUUCAUGAAAUUUUUAUACAAAUGGAUGGAUCUGGAUGAUAUCUUCCUAAGAGAGUUAACCCAAUCACAAAAAACACACAUGAUAUUCACACAUUGAUGAGUGGAUAUUAUCCCUGAAGCUCAGAAUAACCAAGGUAAAAUGUGCAAAACCCAUGAAACUGAAGAAGGAAGACCAAAGUGUGGAUAUGCCGUUCCUUCUUAGAAUGGGGAACCAAAUUAUCAUGGAGGGAGUUACAGAGACAAAGAUUGGAGCUGAGAAUAAAAGAAUACAGAGACUGCCUCACUUGGGGAUCCAUCCCAUAUACAACCACCAAAUCUACUGAAGAUGCCAACAAGGGAUUGGGUGCAGGAGAAUGAUAUAGUUGUCUCCUGAGAGGAUCUGCUAAUGCCUGACAAAUAAAAAAGUGGAUGUUCACAGACAUCCUUUGGACUUAGCACAGGGUCCCCAAUUAUGGAGCUGGAGAAAAUACCUAAGGAGCUUAAGGAGUUUGCAGGCCCAUAAAAGAAAAAACAACAUGAACUAACAAGUACCCCACAAUUCCAUGGGAUUAAACCACCAAUCAAUGAAAACAAAUAAUGGGAUAUAUGAUUCCAGCUUCUUAUGUAGCAGAGGAUGGACUAGUCAGGCAUCAAUGGGAGGAGAGACACUUGUUCCUGUAAAGAUCCUAUGCCCCAGUAUGGGGGAAUACCUGGGUUAGGAAUUGGUAGAUGAUGUGUUGGGGAGAUGGGGGAGAGGGGAGAGGACAGGAGAUUUUUUGGAGUGGAAACUAGAAACGGGGAUAAUAUUUGAAAUGUAAAUAAGGAAAAGUUAUAAUAGAAAAAGAAAGGAAAUAAUUUAUUUGCAAGUUUUAUGAAAUAAAUUCAUGUUUGGCAAACAUAUUAUACGAACAAUGUUCAUGUCUUUUCUUGAGGCGAAAUCAAGAAAGUUCUUCUCUCUCAACAUAUGCUGAUAUAGUUCCAAGAGUAGGUUUAUGUGCUGCAAAACCUUGUAUAUAGGAAUAGAGAGAUAUAGGUAAAAUUAGAAAUGAAGUAUAUGUAAACUCUUAACAAAGACUUCUUCCAUUUCAGGUGACUAGGUAAAGUCUAAUGAACUGCAGGACACAAUUAAUACUGGAAAUGCGAUACCUUCCGAAAGAGCCUCCUCUGAAACUUUUAUGUCAUCGUCCUCAUCAUCAAAGUCCAAAAGUAAUAAGUAACCUUCCUUUGGUAUCACCUUCAAUUUCUUAAGAGCCAUUCUUCUCAUAAGAACACAGUAGUCUUCUUAGUUUAAAAAAAAAACAAUAAAAAUAAAAAGGAAAAAAAAGAACUUAGUUACCUGAUUAAAAAUUAUCAUUUAAAAAAUUAAAAAUAACAAAAAAUCAAAUAAUAAUUUUAGCUCAAUGAAAGAUCAUUUCUUUUUUUACUUAACAUGUAUAUUUUUAAUCAAUUGCCUUUAUCAGAGAGUUCUGUGUACAUAUUCAAUAUGGUGAUGCAUAUAUAUAUACACUUACCCGUACCAUUUCCUCCGUGUAUCCCAUUUAUCAUGUCCCUCUCCCUCACAACUUGUUUUAAAAACUUCUUUAACUCACUUCUUUAAAAACCUCCUUUAGAACCUAAAUUAUUAGUCUGCAAUUUCUCAGUUUAAAAAGAGACAAAAACUGGCCAACCUUCAACCUAUGAGUCCUCCCCUCCUCCCAAAAAACGAUGAGCAACAUCCUUUAACCUUUGAGGUAUCUGAAUUUUGGUCCUAUCUCCCACAGAAUAUUUUUAAACAAAACAUCAGCAAUUCUGUUUACCAGUUUAUCUCAGUCUAACGUAAACUCACAGUUCUAUCCAGAAAGAUAAAGAACAUGGUAACUGUAUAUUCAUAUCAAAAAGAUCCACCACUAAGUCUACAAAAAAACAUGAACUACCACCACCACCCACACAGAAAGACCUUAUAUUGGAGAAAUUAGGGAUUUGGGGAAGCCGAGGAUUUCAAACAUCUGAAGAUUGUAAGUUCAAGGCCAGGCCAAGCCGGGCCAGCUGAAACUACAAAGAUAGAUCCCAUCCUACAGAAACUAAACUGAGAGAAAAAGCUGAACUUGGUGGUGCAAGUCUUUAAUCCCAAUACAUGGGAGACUGAGACAGAAAGAUCUGUGGUCAGAAUCCAUCCCCAAUGACUUAUGAAUCUCUUACAAUUAUCUCCUCUUCUUCUUUUCAUUCAUCUUCCUAUGCCAUUCUACUGUCUGCAAUGUUCAUACAGUCUAUACCAAAGGAACACACCAUAGAGAAGACAAUGAGGAGGGACGAAUCCUCAGUGUGUUUCUAAGGGAUCCUGAAUAUCACACAGGACAAUCGCCAAGGCAUCUCACCAAUGGCUCCCUGUUCCCUGACCCACAGUCCUGCAGCUGGUUCUCUGAUCCUAUCCCCAGGCCCCAAGCUUUUCUCUUCCAAGGGUUCCCAAUUCUCUAUGGCCCUGACCUGUUCGAUCCUCUUCCAUGAAUACGGUCCUCCACCUUCCAUUCACCCUCAGAUUCCACAGAAAAUGGCGAUCAGGAGGCUUUUCCUCACAUAGUGGCCUCCUGGGCCUGAGAUUCCCCACCCUGUCACACCUCGAUUAACUGUCCAACAACCCUGAUCAGGGCAGACUAUCACUUAAAGCUCAUCUAAGAGGAGAACACCUUCCAAACCGCACCCUUCUGUGCUUAGCUCCUCAAUGGC